rnacentral:tRNA from 1 species
GGGAAUGUGGUUCAAGUGAUAGAACACCUAUCUAGCAAGCAUGAGAUCUUGAGUUCAAACCUCAGCACUGCUC